rnacentral:rRNA from 1 species
GGGCUUGACAUCCCACGAAUCCUGCCGAAAGGCAGGAGUGCCCGCAAGGGAGCGCGGAGACAGGUGGUGCAUGGCUGUCGUCAGCUCGUGUCGUGAGAUGUUGGGUUAAGUCCCGCAACGAGCGCAACCCUCACCCCUUGUUGCCAUCAGGUCAUGCUGGGCACUCUAGGGGAACUGCCCCGGUCAACGGGGAGGAAGGCGGGGAUGACGUCAAGUCAUCAUGCCCCUUACGUCCUGGGCUACACACGUGCUACAAUGGCCGGUACAAAGGGAUGCAACACCGCGAGGUAGAGCUAAACCCAAAAAGCCGGUCUAAGUUCAGAUUGGAGUCUGCAACUCGACUCCAUGAAGGAGGAAUCGCUAGUAAUCGCGUAUCAGCACGACGCGGUGAAUACGUUCCCGGGCCUUGUACACACCGCCCGUCACACCACGAAAGCCAGUUGUACUCGAAGUCGCUGAG